CUAGGUCCUAAGAGAAAAAAAAAUGAUUACUUCUUUUGGAAAUCCCAUCCCGGAGACUUAAGAGAAGGCUUUCUGUGAUUUUCUCCAUCCUGUGACACUGGUGGAGAAUCUAGACACUUAAUGAUUACUGUAGGGUCUAUGGCUUAAUGAAAAGUUUUAAGUAGAGACACGAGGGUAUUUGCAUUGGGAGUGAGAAUGGGAAGAGGAUUUUCUCUGCUCAGAAACAAUUCUCCCAUUCUGUUGAUUAUCUCUUCACUCAGAUGAUUGGUUCUUUUGCAGUGCAGAAGCCCCUUAAUUUGAUAUAAUCCCACUUGUCUAUUUUUGCUUCUAUUGCCUGUGCUUUAGGGAUCUGUUGCCUAUAUCAGUGUCUUGAUCUGUUACUCUUACUUUUUCUUUAAUGUUUUCAUGGUUUCUGGUCAUAAAUUUAGGUUUGAUUCAUUUCAGGGUAAUUUUGUGUGGUUGAGAAGUAGGGGGUCCUGUUUUACUCUUUAUAUAUAAUAUAUAUACUUUUUGCACAUAUGUGUGUGUCCAGUUUUCUGAACCCUAUUUAUUGAAAAGACUAUCUCUUCUCCAUGUUAGUUCCUUGUCAAAGAAAAGUUGCCUGGGGCCAGGUAUUAUUGUUUAGCAGGAGGUUAAGCUUCCCCUUCGAGUACCUGCAUUCCAUAUCAGAGUGCCUGUUCAAGUCCUGGUUAGUCCACAUCUGAUCCAACUCCCUCCUAAAGCUAAAGGCAUCACAAUUCCUGACUUCCAUGCAAUUAUUGCUUAUAGCCAUUGCCUAUAUUUCCACUAAACUAGGGUUGCUUUUUUUUUUUGCUUUUUACUUGCUAAACUUCUUAUUUAUGAAGUGUUAAGAGUUCUUGCUAUGAUGUAAAUUUAAAAUGGAAUCUCAAAAACUACAAAAUAACAGAAAGGGGGAAUAAAAAAGGAUAGGAGAAAGAAAGAAAGAGGGAAAGGGAGUGGGGGAGUGAGGGAAUAGAUUUAUAUUUUUAGAGUUGUAUCUACAAACCAUAUUGAAUCUAUUAAAACUAAUUAAAAUCUUAAAAAUUUAAAUAUAAAAUACCUUAAUUUCAAAGCAUACUACAAGAUUAUGGUAAUUAAAAUAACAUGGUAAUGCCAUUAAAAGCUAGCACAUAGAUCAUUGAAACAGGAUACAGAGUCCAGAAAUUAAUCUACAUACAUAUAGCCAACUAAUUUUUGAGAAAAGUGACCAGACCAUACAUUGGAGUAAGGAUAAUCUCUUCAAUAAAUACUGCUGGCAAAACUUGAUGCAUAUUAUGUAGAAGAAUGAAAUUAGAUCUAUACCUCUCACCAUAUAAAAAAUCAAAUCAAGAUGGAUCAAAGAUCUAAAUUUAAGACCAGAGGCUAUGAAGUUGCUGAAAGAAAAUAUAGGGGAAAUCUCCAGAACAUUGAUGUAGGGGACGACUUCUUGGAUAAGAUAAGACCCCUGAAGCAUAGGCAACAAAAUCAAAAUUAAACAAAUGGGAUUAUGCUAGGUUACUUUUAUAAGAAAAAUUAUAUUAAUGGCAGACAUUUCUUCAGAAACCUGACAGGCCAAAACAGAAAGGAAUUAUUUAGUCCAAUUUCUGAAACAAAAGAAUUUCCAGCUAAGAAUAAUUUACCCAGCAAAGCCAUUUUUUAUCAAUGAAGGAGAGAUAAAGGCUUUCAAAAUAAGCAAAUCAGUUCUUUUUUGAAACUUUGGAAGAAAUCAGCAGCGAAGCCAUCCAGACCUGGACUUUUCUUUGUUGGGAGGGUAUACAUUAUUGAUUCAAACUAUGUCUUGGUUAUUGGUCUCUUUAGGCUUUCUAUGUCUUCAUGACUGAAUUUUGUAGAUUGUAUGUAUCCAGAAAUCUAUCCAUUUCUUUCUAGAUUUUCCAGUUUGUUGGCAUAUAGCUGUUUAUACUCAUUCUGACGAUUCUUUUUUAAUUUCUUUGAUAUCUUUUGUAACAUCUCUCUUUUCAUCUCUACUUUUAUUGAUUUGGGUCUUCCCCCAUCCCAUUUUUAUUCUUAGUUAGGCUAAUGGUAUAUCAGUCUUGUUUAGGUUUUCAAAAAACCUGCCCUUUGGCUGGCGCUGUGGCUCUCUAGGCUAAUCCUCAGCACGCGGCACCGGCACCCAGGUUCUAGUCCAGGUUGGGUUGCCGUUUCUGUCCUGGUUGCUCCUCUUCCAGUCCAGCUCUCUGCUGUGGCCCGGGAGGGCAGUGGAGGAUGGCCCAAGUGCUUGGGCCCAGCACCCGCAUGGGAGACCAGGAGGAAGCACCUGGCUCCUGGCAUCGGAUCUGCACAGCACACCGGCCGUAGCAGCCAUUUUGGGGGUGAAUCAACAGAAGGAAGACCUUUCUCUCUUUCUCUCUCUCUCACUGUCUAACUCUGCAUGUCAAAAAAAAAAAAAACUGUACAUUUUAGAAUCUUUUCUUUAUGUUUUACUGUUGAAACCUUGACUAUAAUGUGCCAUCUGAAGAUCUUUUCCUGUCAUGUCUAUUAGGAGUUCUAUGUGCUUCCUGUAUUUGAAUGUCCCUUUCUUUCUCUGAAUUAGGAAAGUUUUCUGCUGUUAUUUCAGUAAAUAAUCCUUCUAAUCCAUUCUCUCUUUCCAUACCUUCAGGAACUCCCAAGACCCAUAUUUUAGGUCAUUUGAUAGUAUGACAUAAAUCUCAAAUACUGUUUUCAGUUUUUCUGUAUUUUUAUCUGAGAUAUUUCCAAAGAUUUGUGUUUUAACUCAGAUAGUCUUUCUUCUGCCUAACCAAGUCUGUUGUUAUGGCUUUCCACUGUAUUUUUAUUUGACAUAUGAAUUCUUCAUUUAUGGUAUUUCAAUUUGAUUUCCUUUCAAUAUUUAUAUAUAUCAGCAAAAUUUUUCUUUAUUGAGUUUUCUUCUCAUUUUUGAGUAAUCUUAUGAUCAAUCUUUUGAAUUCCUUUUUAGGCAUUUCAUCAAUCUCUUUGUCUUCAAUUUUUAAUAUUGAAGUAUUGUGUCCCUUUGGGUAGUUAUAUUGUCUUCCUUUUUCCUUGUUCAUGUUUCUCAUAUUUCUACAUUUAUUUUUAGGCAUUUGUGGAACCACUUGGUUUUCUUAUGGCUUUUGUUUUGAAAUGUGCCUCCGUGGCUUAGUGGAGAUCUAUUCCGUCAGUGGCUAUUCUGGGUGGAGCCAGAGAGCUCCAGUCAGUACUCAGAAGUGGAGCAAGCGUCCAGAGUACACAUAAGUCAGGUGUGGCUGAUGCUGUUGAUCCGGGGAACACUCCUGGAAUAACAGUUACAAAGAGAGAAAGGUAAAUUCACAUCAUAAAAAGGAGCUUCGACUUCUAACAUUCCAUUGGCUUCCUACUGGAUUUGAGAUGAAGAUGAACAUUCUUGGCAUAUCUUCAGGUCCAACAUGGUCUUGAUUCCUCCAUGGCCAUCGUAACAUCUCAUUUUAUUCAAUUUCAGCACUCUAGCCACUGUGAGUUCUUUAAGCUCUUGAAGAAUUGAAUCUGACUCUCCCUGUAAUUGUUCUUACUAUGUCAACUCAUUGAUAAACCUAUUAGAGAUUAUCUCCUUGUCAUAAGAGAGAGGCACCAUCAAAUCCUAUACUGGUACAGGGGUGAACAGUCAAGUUAAUAAUAUUCAAAUUGAACAUGUUGCCAUUCAAGUUUAGUUUUUACAGUCUGAAAAAUUAAAUUUAGAAAAUAUUUGUUUUUGCAAGAAAUCCCACACAACUGCACAUCUUAUUAGACACCAAUACUUCUUUGACUCCACCAGUUUAAGUAUUUUAAUAUAGAUAGAAAUAUUAUUUCUGUAGUUGUUACGCUGGAUAUGGAUAAGUCAUGUAUACUUCUUCUAGCAUGGCUUGUCAAAAUAAAUAUAGUGCAAUUUAAAUGUUUCAGGGCUUCAGCUGGAAAAAGAAAAUAGUGAAUGUUGGAAUUCUUGUGAAAAAUAACUAAGUGACAAGAGAGAAUAGGGUAUAAAACAAUGCCAGACUGGGAAUCAGAAGAUUAUUUGAUUCUCCCCUACCAACUUGCUGGGACUUCUGCUAGUCACAACCUUUCAAACCUUUUUUUUUUUUUUCACUUAAAGGAUAUAGACAGAAUAAAAUUGUGAAUAUAAAAGCCCCUUUAGUGACUGGCAAGAUUUCAGUAGCAUUCCCUAACCCUUGUUUUCCAGCUGUAUUUGUGAUAAAGCCCUACCCCAGGCAGGCAUAAGUGGCUCCAAAAGGUGCAACACUCAGAAGCAGUACCUACCGAAUGUGUUCCCGGACACUCCAUGCUCUGUACCACAUUCAUGUCUACAAGGUCUAAUUCUGUUCUUUCCUUCUAGGCCUCCCAAAUUGUUUAAACCCAUUUCAAACUCUAGUUUACUUAUAUUUCCAGCUGAAAAAGGAAUGAUUCUAAAUUCAUGAUUGAUUUUGCUGCCUUGCAGUAGUGCGUUCUGUGUGUCACCCAGUCAGAUGCUGUUCUAUUCUUUAAUGACUCUGUCUAAUGGGAAUCUUUGUUCAUCCUGGACCUUCAGAGAAACUAGCCCUGCUGUCCCUCACUUUGGUCUCUAGAACUCAGGAAUGGAGAUUGGAAAACUUUUGUACUACUUGCCAUCAUUUCCAACAGUGCUCCUAACAAGUUUGCUCUUUUUUUCCACUUAAGUUUUUAUCAGCAAUCAACUUUUAGUGCCAUUACAAACUUAUCUUAAAAAAGUGCUAUUUUCUACUGAAUCUGAAACUUUCCAGUUGUGUUUGAUUAUAAGCAGUUGUAAGAAUUUACAUGUGGCAGACUCCCUGGAAUUUUUUCCUAUAAUAAUUCAACAACUUUUGCACUAAAAACUCAAUAUUAUUUUCAAGUCUUUUUAAGUAUGACUAAAUAAGAUUUACUAAAAAUAAUGAAAAGCUCCAAGGUUUUUAUUUUUCCUGUAUUAUGAUAAACAUAAUCAAAUUUACAUACUUGCAUAAUUUUAUUUUUCAUGCUAAAAAUGUUAAAAGAAAAAUGAUCAACGUUAAGAUCUUUAUGAUAUAUUUAAACUCAGUUUUCAUGAGUCAUAGAUGAAUUGAUAAUUUUCUAUUCACACAUCUCUUCAAUUACUUAUUAUGAAGCCUCCCAAAAAGCAUAGACUUGGUCUCCUUUAAUACUAUAUUCCAGCCAGCACCGCGGCUCACUAGGCUAAUCCUCCGCCUUGCGGAGCCGGCACACGGGGUUCUAGUCCCAGUCGGGGCACCGGAUUCUGUCCCGGUUGCCCCUCUUCCAGGCCAGCUCUCUGCUGUGGCCAGGGAGUGCAGUGGAGGAUGGUCCAGGUGCUUGGGCCCUGCACCCCAUGGGAGACCAGGAGAAGCACCUGGAUCAGCGUGGUGCGCUGGCCGCAGCACUCCGGCCGCGGCAGCCAUUGGAGGGUGAACCAACGGCAAAGGAAGACCUUUCUGUCUCUCUCACUGUCCACUCUGCCUGUCAAAAAAAAAAAAAAAUACUAUAUUCCCAGAAACAAGAACAGUGAUGAGACAUAGUAGGUAUUCAAUAACUUUUUGUCAAAUAAGUACCAUCACAAGCUAAGAUGUGUUUUCUAAGAGAAAGCAAGAAAGCACUACUAGUUUGUACUAGUUUGAUAAAGACAAGAUACAUUAACAACUUUCUCUUAAUAGUUUGCUAAAGGAAAUUACAAAUGGAUUGUAACACUAGUUAUAUAUUAAGCACUGUACCAUACUGACAACCUGUCAUUCAUUAGAGAUGCUGAGAAGCAAGAGAAGUAGCUGAUGAUAUUAGUAAUCCUAACUUUUAAUAACAUGUCACCCAAGAAAGAAAGAGACAUUUAAUGUGUGACUAUUUGAUGACCAAACACAUGCAUACUCACAUACAUCCUUCAAAUAUUCUCAUUUAACAGAUUAGGAAAAAUGAUACUCAAGAUACUAUAAAUUUCCCCAAAGUUAGAAAACAGCUGAGUUAAUCCUCAAAUCCAAUACUUUUGACUUUAUUUCCAUAUUUUUUUGUUCGUUUGUUUUUUGUUUAUUUUACAGGUAGAGUUAUAGACAGUGAGAGAGAGAGAGACAGAAAGUUCUUCCUUCCAUUGGUUCACUCAUUGAACUUGUAAAAAUCAUAUAAUAAUUCAUAAAUAAUUCUUGGCUUUUUAAAAAAUAUUUUAUUUAUUUAUUUGAAAGUCAAAGUUAAACAUAGAGAGAAGGAGAGGCAGAGAGAGAGAGGUCUUCCAUCUGCUGAUUCACUCCCUAGUUGGUCACAUGGCUGGAGCUACUCAAUCCAAAGCCAGGAGCCAGGAGCUUCUUCUAGGUCUCCCACGUGGGUGCAAGGGGCCCAAGGACUUGGGUUAUCUUCUACUGCUUUCCUAGGCCAUAGGAGAGAGCUGGCUUGGAAGUAGAGCAGCUGGGACUUGAACCAGCGCCCAUAUGGGAUGCUGGCACUGCAGGCUGUGGCUUUACCCACUAUGCCACAGCACCAGCCCCUAAUUCUUGGAUGUUAUUAAUAUUUUAUGGUAAUGAGUCAAAUUAGACUGUUGAAAAACUAUUUGUAUACUAGAAAUGCAUUACCUUAUGGCUUAAAGAGAGGGUGAAUAAAUUCCAUGUUCUUUCUUCUUCAAGAGGAACCCUUCCACACUCUUAAGUUAUGAAGCCAAGUACAGGAUUUCUAAUAGCUGAAGUAUGCAUCAGUAGCUCUUCAGUUGUUCACUUAAACAAUUUAAGGCUCAAAAAUCAUCUUUUCCCAGAACCCAUAGAGACACUGAUUUACUAUGUUUGAAUUUAGGAACAGAAUUGGUGAUUUUGAUGAUCAGCUGCAUCUGAAAAUCCCUGACAACAGCAUUAUUUAUUUUCCUGUCCAAGACUGAUAGAGAUCUAUGCUGGAAAUGUAAAUUUCACUUACAAAAAUUGCAACUUUUCAAGUCCCUAUUCAGUUGAACAAAAAUUCUUAAUUCCAGGUUCUGUUUUCAGCCUGGGGCUUUGUAUUUCUGAGACACUAUAGCUUCAAUAGAGAUCUUUCCUUUUCCUGUGUGCACCAGGAGGAUGCUCAUAGCAACAUGGUCAACAAUAGAAAAGAACAAAUAUUUACACAUAUAGGGUAGGAUAACAGGUCAAUAAUUUUGAAACUCCAUUACAGUAACAUGUUUUAUAGCAAUGAAAAUGUGAAUGAAACAUAAAAUUAUCAUACUGUAGAGGACAAUAGAGUCUAUAAGACUGAAUAAAAUAUACUAUUUAUAAAACAACAGUCAAACUAAUGUUUACUCACAUAGAAAUAUGUGAUUAAAUAUUUUAAAACAAGAAAAAGAUUUUAUUUAUAGAGUGUGGGAUAAUGAUUAAAUUUGAAGAAAACAAGGGUGAAUUUAAUCUCCACAAAGGUAGAUGAAGUAGAUGAUGAUGUUUUACUUUUUGGAUCAAGUGGUUGGUUUAUUGUUCAUGUUUCACCAAUGCUCUAGAAUUUACAUAAUAGUUCAUACAUUAUUUGGUGAAUCAGAUGUUAUACUAAAAAUAAUGAAGGAAAAUAGGAAAUAUACUCUAGGCAGAAAGAGUAACAUACAAUCCCCAAGGCAAUAAGCAAUAUGCAGUGUUAAAGGGAAUCAAACGAGGGCAAUUAGAGAGCCAUGAGCAGAGACAGAGAAUGGCAAAGGAGGCUGGAGAGGUUAGACGAAGCUAUCAUGCAUUUUUUUUUUUCAUUUCACGUCCAUAACCAUCCUCGGAAGAAUUCCAAUUCACUGUUAUUUUUCACAUUUUUGCAGAGGAAGAAACAAAACUAAAAUAUGAGGAAAGGUGGAUGAAAGCCUCAGCAGAACUGAGAAAAGAAAAAAGCUUGCUCAGAAGGAGUCCAGCCAAGAAGCAAGCUUCAUCUGGCUGCAGAAUCUGUUGAGGAUAAGCUUUUAAGCUUAAAACAAGGAUUAAAUAAGCUUAUGCGUAGAGAAGUUGAACCUGCCAGACCUUCCUUCCAGCUCGAUGAGUCAGGGGACUGUCUUUACAAUACUAUAGGUAUAUUUCUUCAGAAAUUAAUCUAGCCACUCCACAGCCAGGGGGAGCACAAAAGGAGAUAGCCAGAGGAAAAUGUGCUCUCUUAAAAGCAGUGGCAAUUGGACGGGUGUUUUUGCCUAGCAUUUCAGAUAUUGAUCAGAAUGUCCACAUCCCAAAUCAGAUACCUGGCUCUGGCUCCUGACUCCAGCUUCCUGCUAUUGCAGACCCUGGGAGAGAUUAGUGAUGGUUCAAGUAAUUAAGUACCUGUCACUCUCAUAGGAGAACUUGAGUGAAUUCCCAUGUCAUGGAACUGGCCCUGUCCAGACUUCCUGUUGCAGGCAUUUUGGGAGUGAACCAGUGGAUGGAAACUCUAUCUCUCUGUCUCUCAAAUAUAUUAUUGAUAUUAUAUAUAUAUAUAUAUAUAUAAAUUGAAGAAAGAACUGAAGAGAAAUUCUGCCUACUGAAUAUGUAAGCUCUCAGCCCUACAUGUAACUCUAACCUUAGAUGUUUGCCAUCCAAGUGCAUAGCCUCCCAGGCAGAACAGAAUAUUCUCCUCUCAAGUGGUCACAGACAAAAUACCGCUAAAUGCCCUAAAUGUUGAUAUUUGGGACUGCUCUGAUGGAAAGUUAUGAUCCUCAUCUGAUCAAUAUACACUAAGGAUUCACCCAUUAACGUCCAUUAAAUUUUUACUGCUUCAGACAUUUGAGAAAACUUUAAUAAUUGGAAGAUAAGGACCAAAACAGAAAUGAAGAAGUCAGAGUAAAAUAAACAUAAUGCAGGAAAGACAAGAAAUUUUAGAAAUAUAUGUGAUCACUUCAUAGGGAAAAAAUACUGUGCACACGAUAAAUAAAAACAGAAUGUUACAUAAAUUGAAUAUUCAUAAAAUAAGAGUUCUUGGAAAUAAUAUAGACAUUAGGAUAGCAAAGAAAAAUCUAAAGAAAGUCCUGCAGUUAAAAGUUGAGAAAUUAAACCAUAAAUAGAUAAAAAAGUCAAAAAGAAAAACAAGCAUAAUCUUCCCAGAGAAAAGCACAUGUAGAGGCUCAGUCCUUUGCCUUUUCCUGUCUUUACUCAAAGGCCGCUUGAGUAGUGAGCCCUCCUCUGAUGAUCCUGCUUCCAAUCGCAAUGUACCUGUUCUGCAGGCAUAACCUAUCAUUCAGUCUUGCUUUAUUGUUUUCAUUUAUUUUUUGCAUAUUUUUGAAUUUAUCUAUUUCUUGCAUCUUCUCACUACGAUACAAACCCCAUGAGAUUUAUUUCCUUGUUUUUUUCACUACUGUAUCUCUGGUAGUUACGACAUUGAAUGUAUGUGAGAGGGAGGGAAAAGGCAAACUAACAAUAUAACAAUAUAAACUAUUAAAGUUGAACUUAAAAGGGAGAGCAUGCAGGUAAGAAAAAAGCCGAUGUAUAUAUUAUUCAUAUCAAUGACUCAUUACAUAUUAUCAAGAGGAACAGAAAUCUUAAUAUAGUUCACAACGAUUUAAAGAUAAACAGAAUAGUAAUCAGCAACUUUAAAAGUAUCAGCAAGAGAACACAGAAAAUUCAAACGAAAGUGUGAUGAAUUUUUAUUAUCAUUAGUUAUAUACUGAUAGACAAUGCCUUUGAAGAUGCAAUUUAAUUGAAACAGUCAUAUUUAAACAGUGUACACAAUAUGCUAACAUUGCUGUUUUUAGAACUAUAUGUGCUUAUUGAUGCAAAUAACAUUUCUAUAAAUACAUCAAGUAAUUCUCAGCAAAGGGCCCCUCUGUGUAAAAGUCUGCAUAAUCUUUUUGAACUCAGUAUCAUGGCAUGCGUUCCAAUAGGCAUGCAUUAGCUUUUUAAAACUUUUUAAGUGAAUGAGAACUCUCUUUGCUGCACAGAUUAUCCCCUUUUUCUUUUUUUAACAAUCUUUAUUUCCUUGCAUGUCUCUUCCAGUCUUCUGGCAUGUCACCUGUGUCUUCCAGUUUAUCUCCCUGCAGAAUCCAAGAACAUGUUUAUUAUUUCUUCCAUAGCACUUACCUCAUUAUUUAAUUGCUAUUCAUUAAAAGGGUUGUUUCCUUCAGAACACCAUGAGCUCCGUGGAAAUUUAUCCAUUUUGGAAUACCUCAAUAAUUAGCACACAGGUUUAUUUGUAUCUAUACUGGCCCACCACAUUCUACUAUACAUCCAAACCACAGGAGCCUAAUAAAUGAUCUUUUGCCUUGGUGCAUAAGCACUUUUAGGGAUUCCCUCUACUUCAGCUCCCCAUUUGUGCUUCUUAAUUUUCCUUUUGGCCAGCACUGCGGCUCACUAGACUAAUCGUCCACCUGCGGCACCAGCACCCCGGGUUCUAGUCCCGGUUGGAGCGCCAGUUCUGUCUGGUUGCUCCUCUUCCAGUCCAGCUCUCUGCUGUGGCCCGGGAAGGCAGUGGAGGAUGGCCCAAGUGCUUAGGCCCUGCACCCGCAUGGGAGACCAGGAGGAAGCAACUGGCUCCUGGCUUUGGAUCAGCGCAGCGCGCCAGCCGCAGCAGCCAUUUGGGGGAUAAACCAAUGGAAGGAAGACCUUUCUCUCUAUCUCUCUCACUAACUCUGCCUGUCAAAAAAAAUAAUAAUAAAUUUUCCUUUUAUCUAUUGCUUAUUCUGGUAUAAUUUAUAUACAAUAAACUCUUUUUGGUGUAUAAUUGUAUGAUUUUUGUCAAAUCAGGUGCUUGUACUGUGGCACUACGGGUUAAGCAGCAGUUUGCAAUACCAGCUAUUCUGUUUUUGAUCCUGAUUCCUGCCGAAGUACCUGGGAAAGCAGUGGAAGAUGGCCCAAAUACAUGGGCCCCUGCCACCCACAUAGGCAAUGAGGAUACAUUUCUUGGCUCAUGGCUUUGGCCUGGCCAAGACUCUGCUGUUGGAGCCAUUUGGGGAGGGAAUCAGAGGAUGGAGGUACUUCUCUCUCUGUCACUGUCUCUGUGUCUUCUUCUCUCUGUUACUUUGCCUUUCAAAUAAAUCCUUUUUUAAAAUGUCUACAAUUAUAGAAACACUACCGAUAACAAAAUUGGCAUACAAAAUCAUCAUCAACCCCCAAGAAUUUAACAUGCUUCUUGAGAGUCAAUACCUCCCUCCACCCCUAAUUACUAGUAUUCUCUGAUUUGUUUUCUGUCCCUUUUGUUUUGCCAUUUACAUAAUGUCAUAAAGAUGGAAUAUACAUGUAAAGUCCUUAUUUUAAUUUUAUUUAAGUUAUACAAGUUUCAUGCAUGUCAUAUAUAGAUUUAGGAACAUGGUGAUACCUCCCACCCUACCCUGCCUCCAACCUAUGCUCCAACCCUUCUUCUUCCUCCCUCUCCUAUUCCCACUCUUAAUUUUUAUAAAGAUCUACUUUCAGUUUCUUAAUGAUCGUAAAGUUCAAGUGAGUUUCUUAUUUCAUUUUGCAAACAUGCAUUUGAGAUUCUUUGUUGCUCUUGCAUGUAUGAUUCAUUUCCUUUUAGUCCUUACUCCUCUAACUCCUCUAUUCUAUCAUGUGAACAUACAUUUUGUUCAUCCAUUCAGCUGUUGAAGAGCAGUUGGCCUGACUCAAGUUUAGGGAAAUGAUAAGUAAAUCCAUACAUUAAUGUAUAUAUUUAUGUGUGAAUUUAAGUGUCACUUGGGAAAAUACUUAGGAGUUGGCUUCUUAGGCGUAAUGUUAAAUGUAUGCCAUACUAUAAAAGAAAUUGACAAACUGAUUUUUCAAGUAGCUGAAUCAUCUUUCAUUUUCAGCAGCAAAGUAUGAGAGCUGCAGUUGCUCUGUGUUGUCCCCAACAUUUCACACUACCAGUUCUUUAAGCCUGUUUAAUAGGUUUAUCUGAUUCAUUGUGAUCUUAAUUUAUAUCUCCCCAAUCACUAACAUUGUUGAGCAGCAUUUCAUGUACUUAUUUUUCACCCUGUGGCUUUAAUGUAAAUUAUCUGUUCAAAUGUUUUGAAUAACUUUUUAGAGAUUGAAUUCUUAUUUUUUAAUUUUUUAACAGAUUCAAUAUAAUUCAUAGAUACAAUUCUAAGAAUAUACUGAUAUUCCAUUCCUCCCUCCCUCUCUCUAAGAGGUUGAUUUUGAACAGGGAAGGGAAGGUGGAGAGGAGAGCAAAGUGGAAAGAAAGCGGCAGGGAGGUGGGGUUGGAGAAGGAAACUGAAACUCAGUGGUCUGGGCUGAGAUUUAGUCUUCAAGGAAAUUAUCAAAGGUUUGGAGAAUUAAACGAGAACCAAGUUCUGACUUACAGUUUGCUUUAUUGAACAGAAGUCUAACUCCAUGGUGUGUCCAGUGAGGUGAUAAUCCAUUCAGAUCCACAUGCUUUAGUAUAGGAGGUGGGACAAAUACUUCAAGACAGGCAUAUCUGGGUCCCAAAAAGACAACCAUCACGUGUUUUCUCUGAUAUGUGGUAGUUAAUAUAGAAUACAAAUAUAUAUAUAAAUAUAUAGGAAUGAAAAGGACAUCUUGUGAUUGGAUAACUUUUUUUUUUUUUU